rnacentral:rRNA from 1 species
CUCGGAAUCACUGGGCGUAAAGGGCGCGUAGGCGGCUUGCCAAGUCGGGGGUGAAAGCCCGUGGCUCAACCACGGAAUGGCCUUCGAUACUGGCAGGCUUGAGACCGGAAGAGGACAGCGGAACUGCGAGUGUAGAGGUGAAAUUCGUAGAUAUUCGCAAGAACACCAGUGGCGAAGGCGGCUGUCUGGUCCGGUUCUGACGCUGAGGCGCGAAAGCGUGGGGAGCAAACAGGAUUAGAUACCCUGGUAGUCAAGGGCG